AAAGGGUAUCAAAAUAUUUGACACAUUUCAUAUCCAUGUAAGAACUGAUACUAAAUAUACAUCUGUUUGUUUGGCAGGAGGCAUUUGUUUCACAAAUUGCAGAGCAAACGAAGAGCAAUGCCGCAAAAGAUGCCCUACUCGCGGAGCUUAAGAGGCAAAUUGGGCAGACAAAGACUCGUCCACACUGCACCGCCGAGAGCCAGACUUGCUCUCCAUCUACAAAAAGCAUAGGGAGUGAAUGCACUACUGAAUGCGCCGAGGCUGAUGUCCAGGCCACUAGUGAAGUGACAGUGGUGUCAGUUGAGACACAAACGGAUGCAGCGCCAAAGAGGCACCAAAACCGUGCAGUGCGUGCCUGGCAGAGUUUCUGUGGCCAGGUACGCAACCUGCACAACCGCCUCAUCCAUGGAACAGAGGCAUUCUAAACCCUACAGGAAAUAUAGUAGCCUCCAUAGGAUGUACUGCUUUUCAGGGUGCUAGCUUAUUAUCUGAUUUAUAAAUUUGAACAGCUGUUAUCUGUAAU